rnacentral:rRNA from 1 species
CCUACGGGAGGCAGCAGUGGGGAAUAUUGCACAAUGGGCGAAAGCCUGAUACAGCCAUGCCGCGUGUGUGAAGAAGGCCUUCGGGUUGUAAAGCACUUUCAGCGAGGAGGAAAGGUUAGUAGUUAAUAACUGCUAGCUGUGACGUUACUCGCAGAAGAAGCACCGGGCUAAUUUAGUGCCAGCAGCCGCGGUAAUACUAAAGGUGCAAGCGUUAAUCGGAAUUACUGGGCGUAAAGCGCGCGUAGGUGGUUUGUUAAGUUGGAUGUGAAAGCCCAGGGCUCAACCUUGGAACUGCAUUCAAAACUGACUCACUAGAGUACGAGAGAGGUUAGUGGAAUUUCCUGUGUAGCGGUGAAAUGCGUAGAGAUGGGAAGGAACACCAGUGGCGAAGGCGACUGACUGGCUCGAUACUGACACUGAGGUGCGAAAGCGUGGGGAGCAAACGGGAUUAGAUACCCCGGUAGUCCACGCCGUAAACGAUGUCUACUAGCCGUUGGAGGACUUGAUCCUUUAGUGGCGCAGCUAACGCGAUAAGUAGACCGCCUGGGGAGUACGGUCGCAAGAUUAAAACUCAAAGGAAUUGACGGGG